AGUCGAACGAAGUAGCAUACUUAGUGGCAGACGGGUGAGUAACAUGUGGGUAUCUACCCUUUGGCCUGGAAUAACACGAGGAAACUUGUGCUAAUACCGGAUAAGUCUUUACGGAGAAAGCUUUAUGCACCAUUGGAUGAGCCCGCACUUGAUUAGUUUGUUGGUAGGGUAAUGGCCUACCAAGACUAUGAUCAAUAGCUGAUUUGAGAGGAUGAUCAGCCACAUUGGGACUGAGACACGGCCCAAACUCCUACGGGAGGCAGCAGUGGGGAAUCUUGCACAAUGGAGGAAACUCUGAUGCAGCGAUGCCGCGUGAGUGAAGAAGGCCUUUGGGUUGUAAAGCUCUUUCGUCGGGGAAGAAAAUGACUGUACCCGAAUAAGAAGGUCCGGCUAACU
rnacentral:rRNA from 1 species